GAUGAACGCUGGCGGCGUGCCUAAUACAUGCAAGUCGAGCGAACGGACGAGAAGCUUGCUUCUCUGAUGUUAGCGGCGGACGGGUGAGUAACACGUGGAUAACCUACCUAUAAGACUGGGAUAACUUCGGGAAACUGUAGCUAAUACCGGAUAAUAUUUUGAACCGCAUGGUUCAAAAGUGAAAGACGGUCUUGCUGUCACUUAUAGAUGGAUCCGCGCUGCAUUAGCUAGUUGGUAAGGUAACGGCUUACCAAGGCAACGAUGCAUAGCCGACCUGAGAGGGUGAUCGGCCACACUGGAACUGAGACACGGUCCAGACUCCUACGGGAGGCAGCAGUAGGGAAUCUUCCGCAAAGGGCGAAAGCCUGACGGAGCAACGCCGCGUGAGUGAUGAAGGUCUUCGGAUCGUAAAACUCUGUUAUUAGGGAAGAACAUAUGUGUAAGUAACUGUGCACAUCUUGACGGUACCUAAUCAGAAAGCCACGGCUAACUACGUG
rnacentral:rRNA from 1 species